GAUGAAGUACGUAGCGAAAUGCGAUAAGUAAUGUGAAUUGCAGAAUUCAGUGAAUCAUCGAAUCUUUGAACGCACAUUGCGCCCGCCAGUAUUCUGGCGGGCAUGCCUGUUCGAGCGUCAUUUCAACCCUCAAGACCCCUUCGGGGGACUUGGUGUUGGGGACCGGCACAGGGGCCUGCCUGCUUGUCUUGCAGCGCCCUCGCCGCCCCCGAAAUGAAUUGGCGGCCUCGUCGCGGCCUCCCCUGCGUAGUAGCACAACCUCGCAACGGGAACGUGACGGCGGCCACUGCCGUAAAACAACCCCAAUUUUAUUAGAGUUGACCUCGAAUCAGGUAGGAAUACCCGCUGAACUUAAGCAUAUCAAUAAGCGGAGGA
rnacentral:misc_RNA from 1 species